rnacentral:rRNA from 1 species
GAUGAACGCUGGCGGCGUGCCUAAUACAUGCAAGUCGAGCGAACAGACGAGGAGCUUGCUCCUCUGACGUUAGCGGCGGACGGGUGAGUAACACGUGGAUAACCUACCUAUAAGACUGGGAUAACUUCGGGAAACCGGAGCUAAUACCGGAUAAUAUAUUGAACCGCAUGGUUCAAUAGUGAAAGACGGUUUUGCUGUCACUUACACAUGGAUCCGCGCCGCAUUAGCUAGUUGGUAAGGUAACGGCUUACCAAGGCAACGAUGCGUAGCCGACCUGAGAGGGUGAUCGGCCACACUGGAACUGAGACACGGUCCAGACUCCUACGGGAGGCAGCAGUAGGGAAUCUUCCGCAAUGGGCGAAAGCCUGACGGAGCAACGCCGCGUGAGUGAUGAAGGUCUUCGGAUCGUAAAACUCUGUUAUUAGGGAAGAACAAAUGUGUAAGUAACUAUGCACGUCUUGACGGUACCUAAUCAGAAAGCCACGGCUAACUACGUG